AGUAAAAUGACUGAGAUUUAAGUGAUAAAUUGUAAAUUUAUUUAGGAAUUAAUUAUUCUUUUACUA
rnacentral:tRNA from 1 species